UCUAGCUACAACCCUAUGCGCCGGAGGCCUGCGCCCGCGGCUAUAAAAGGCAGCCUGCCCACGCGCACGGCGCACUCGGGAUCGGAGCGGGAUUGAGCCAGGGUACCCGCUUAUUACUGGGCUUGCGGCAGCAUGGCAGGUAGCACACGCAUGCAUGCAUCUGGCUGCGGCAGCAAGCUCGGCCGCCCGGUGCCGUUCCACCGGCGACGUCGAACGACGUCGAGCGACGUCGGGUGACGUCGGGCGGAGCGCUGGCCGCGCGGCUGCCCCGCUCAGAGAGCGGCUAGCAGUGGACGCGCUGAGAGAGACCUGCGUUGAUCGCGGUCUGCAGUAGCGGAGUCAGGGAAUUUAGCUUAAACAUUAACAUUAACAUGCUGCGUUUAGGAUAAUCUAACAUUUUAUUUUUAGCAAGUCUUAAAGUGUUAUACAUAUGUAAUUCGUUCACCAGUCAUUCACGAUUGUAUCAUACAUUGGGGUUUCACCGUUAUACUUUUCCGUUACACGUUACUGAUACAAGCAGGUAUAUUAUUGCAAGUAUAAAUGCACAAUUGUAUUAUUGUACAAUUGUAUAGUUGCACAAUUUUAUAGAUAAGUUUUUUGUUAAUCCAUUUCCAUCUCAGUCGGCACUAGCUUAGUUUUCUUUUUUGACCUUAGUUUUAGUUUUUUCUAUUAAACUUGUUUUUUUCUUACUUUAUAA